rnacentral:rRNA from 1 species
GAAAUGCGAUAAGUAAUGUGAAUUGCAGAAUUCCGUGAAUCAUCGAAUCUUUGAACGCACAUUGCGCCCUCUGGCAUUCCGGGGGGCAUGCCUGUCCGAGCGUCAUUUCUACCCUCAAGCCCGGCUUGUGUGUUGGGUGCUGUCCCCUAGGGGGACAUGCCCGAAAGACAGCGGCGGCACUGUCCGGUCCUCGAGUGUAUGGGGCUCUGUCACCCACUUGGAGGGACUGGCCGGCGCCUGUCCACCCCAACCAUCUCUUUUAGGUUGACCUCGGAUCAGGUAGGGAUACCCGCUGAACUUAA